rnacentral:rRNA from 1 species
UACGAAGGGGGCUAGCGUUGUUCGGAAUCACUGGGCGUAAAGCGCACGUAGGCGGACCGUUAAGUCGGAGGUGAAAGCCUAGGGCUCAACCCCAGAACUGCCUUCGAUACUGGCGGUCUUGAGUAUGGUAGAGGUUGGUGGAACUCCGAGUGUAGAGGUGAAAUUCGUAGAUAUUCGGAAGAACACCAGUGGCGAAGGCGGCCAACUGGACCAUUACUGACGCUGAGGUGCGAAAGCGUGGGGAGCAAACAGG